CUAACAUAUGCAAAUUAGGCAAAUGCAUUAAUUAAGCAUGCAAAUAGCUGAUUUUUAGGAAAAAUGUAAGUUUGCGUGAAUAGUUAAACGGCUUAAACUAAACCAAAUUGUCUGAAAUUUUGUACAGUAAUUAAAAAUGCGACAAAUGUUCCAUCUAUUAACUCAAAAUAUGAUUACAGCUUUUAAAUUUUGUGCGCAAGCCAUUUUUAUUUUGUUGGAAAAGACACACCCCCCUGGUUCACAAUAUUUGAGUUCAAGAAAUUUUUUUCAUUAUUCUACAUUCUAAGUACCCAAAGAAGCUAUAUCUAUAAAAAACCGGAUACAAAUCGGUGUUUUGCGAAAUUGAGAGCAAUUUCAAAUCUGUUCAGUUUUUUUUGAUACACCCUGUAUAU